AUUGAACGCUGGCGGCAGGCCUAACACAUGCAAGUCGAGCGGAGCGGCGGACGGGUGAGUAAUGCCUAGGAAUCUGCCUGGUAGUGGGGGAUAACGUCCGGAAACGGGCGCUAAUACCGCAUACUAUCAGAUGAGCCUAGGUCGGAUUAGCUAGUUGUUGGGGGAAAGGCCUACCAAGGCGACGAUCCUUAACUGGUCUGAGAGGAUGAUCAGGCACACGGGAACCGAGACCCGGUCCCAACUCCUACGGUAGGCAAGAGGGGGGAAGAGUGGACAAUGGGCGAAAGCCUGAUCCAGCCAAGGCGGGUGUGUGAAGAAGGUCUUCGGAUUGUAAAGCACUUUAAGUUGGGAGGCGUUACCAACAGAAUAAGCACUGGCUAACUUCGUGCCAGCAGCCGCGGUAAUAC
rnacentral:rRNA from 1 species